UAUUACAUGGACAAGUAGAAGGAUCAGAUGAGAAGGCUGAGGAAGACUCUAUAACCAGGCGUUCCGACACACCUGUUCCUGAUGAUUCAUGGUCUACAUCAGCUAGCCAAGACUUUGAUUUUGGUACCAAGGUAAAGUACC